GAUCCUGGCUCAGGAUGAACGCUGGCGGCGUGCCUAAUACAUGCAAGUCGAACGCUUCACAUAUGUGAAGAGUGGCGAACGGGUGAGUAAUACAUAAGUAACCUGGCCUUUACAGGGGGAUAACUAUUGGAAACGAUAGCUAAGACCGCAUAGGUGUCAUAACCGCAUGGAGAUGAUAUGAAAUAUGCUACGGCAUAGGUAGAGGAUGGACUUAUGGCGCAUUAG
rnacentral:rRNA from 1 species